CCAAUAUGGUAAGACCAGGCGCCCCACCGCAACCCAAAGGUUGCGGGUUCAAAUGGGAGGCACCCAGGCUGCGUCGAGAUUUAGAAAAAAAAAGAAAAUCCUCCUCUCUCGUGCGACCUCUCCACGGUGGCGGCGCCCCACCCUGCUCCACCGGCGGACACGGCGCCUCCUCCAUCCCAUGGUGCCGGCUCCCCUCCCCUGCAACCACUCCAAGGACAUCCAGGAACAUGGUGGCAGUGUUGCUCGCUUGGAUCUUGGGCGCAGCAUCGUCCUGUGGUGGAUCCAGAAGAAGAGGCAGCGACGCCCUCCUCGGCCUCCCCUUCACCGGCGCCAAGGAGGCUCGUGGUGUGAGGCCCAUGGACCUCGUGCCCAGAUCUGGGAUGCCCCAGAGACAGCCUCCUCUCCACCCCGACCAGACCAGAGACGGCGUCCUCUCCCCGCCCCCCAUGGCUAGUGGCGGCAGCUUCCACAUCGCCGCUGCGGCGAGGUCGUCUCCCUUCCCUGACAUGAUGUGGUGAUGUAGCAGUGUGCAUGCAUUGGCAAGGCCCUGCUCGUGGAGCAGUGGCGCUCCCUCAUGGAGAAGACGCCGCACAUCUACUUCGCCUUCGAUGGCGCCGAGGCCUUCCCUAGGGAACAGAUUGGCAGAUUGGCGAGGUCGUCAAACAGCUGGCCAGGGAGGCCACGACGGUGGUGGAGCUUUUGCGAGCUGCAUUAAUUCAGUUUACUUAUUUAUUUAGUAACAUGCAUAAAAAUGGUUCCUGGUAUUUGUGCACUCUAAUUUAGGUAGCCAUAAUGUGGCAAGACAACUCAUUGCCUUCAUUGGAUGAACUAGUUGUCCUAUCCCAUGCUUUGGAUUUUGAUUUAUAUACUUGCAACACCUGAAUGGUCCGUGACUUUUUAAUUAAUGUAGCUGAUAUUAAUUUCACUAAUAGGUUUCUAUGCUUGACAAGUUAGAUUUAUAUGCUAUGUUGUUAUGAUUUUUGCAUUUAUGUAGAUGACAUUAGUUUCAUGAAUAGCUUUUAUGCAACUGCUAAAACAUGUGUAUAUGGCAUUCUUGCCGCUGUAAGGUUUGUGCACGUACUAAAACUUCUUUUAUAUGCCUUUCUUUGCCACUGUCAUUUUUGUGCACUGCUCAAAUAUGUUUCUAUGCCUUUGCUGUGAUGUAGGAUGGUUGGAAGGAUUCCUCUCUAUUUGUGAGAGGUCAACGGUGUUAUGGAUCUUCCUCCUCACUUUAGCAUGCUGACCUUUCUCCUCUCUACAACACGGCGAGCAGCAUACUCAUCCUCAUCUAACGGAGGAGUAGGGUGUGUUGUAGCAGCGAGAUCCAACACAAAUCGGAAGACAACCAGCCUACUGGAGAACAGGACUACUGCCAUGGUGUUGAUGAGCUUCUAGAUGAGGACACAUCCAGCACGGCGGCCAGAAGUGACACUAGUAUGUUUGGAAUCCUCGACUUUGCAAUUGAUUUUUAUUUCUAUGCUUAAAGUCAACCGUAUAAGCAAGCAGGAUUUGGUUUUUGCUUGAACGAGAAUGGUUUCUAUGCAUCCACUCGGCGAUUUAGGGGGAGCAUGCUAGGCCUGCUCGUGAGCUCCCUUUGAAGUGCGGAAUUGGAGAUGCUGCUAGCCUAUUGUUCGAUAGAUGCCUAGAAAUAUGGUUUUUAGUAUUUUCAUGUCAUAUUUUUAUGAUUUGUGAGAGUGGUAUCCAUGCUUAUAUGACAAAAGGUCUGCAUGAAAUGAAGAGCUACCAAAGUAGGCAAGCAAGAUUUCUACGUGGUUGAUUUUGAGUUUUUAUGCAUCUCCUUGAUAUAUGUCUUUCUUUUGCUGAUAUAAGGUUUAUGCGCCUACUAAAUCAUGUUUCUAUGUCUAUCUUGCUCAAGUUCAUAUGCCUUCUCCUGCUAAAACAUGUUCCUAUGCCUGUCUUGCUGUCUAAACGAAUUACCCGUUAUUUGUGAAACUGCAUGUAUGAGUGUGGUGCGAAUGGGUGGUGGUGGAUGGUGGUGUGGACAACAGCAAUGGCGUGACGCGGUCAAGGAUGUCUUCCACAGGAUGGUUAAAAUAGAUUCCUCUAUUUGGUGGGAGGUCAAUGGUGGCUUUGUUGUGAUGUAGCAUGGUUGGAAGGAUUUCUUUCCAUUUGGUGUGAGAGGUCAAUGGUGCCUCAGACAUAUGACAUGGCUUGUGAUGUCCACGACUCGUGGCGGUGGCGUCGUGUGAUCUUAAUAUAGUUGAUUGGUUAAUGUAAAAAGUUAGUUUUCCAUGAUGUAUUUAUAUGCUUGGAUGAGAUGAGCAAAACUUUGUUUCUAUGUAACCUCGGUUGGUUUUUAAUAUGUUGUUGACUCGGUUUCUA